rnacentral:miRNA from 1 species
GCGAUCCGGUUAUGCAGUUGA